CUGAGCAGCAACCGAUUAGUUAUUUUGAAGGUGUAAUCGCAACACAUUUUAUGAAUAACUCUAUUUUUCCGUGUACUCUAAUAUGUGGUAUAUGUUUUUGAAAGGUCGAAUAAGCCAAUAGUCAUGCAUAAUCAAUUUUUUCUCCGAUUUCUAAUAAAUUUUAAUAGAAGCAUAUUAUAUGUUUACCCAAUUUUUUUUUUAACUUAAUAAACAAACUUAUGAUUAAAAAAAAUUAUUAAACGAUUUAAGGUCGCCUCAUGUGGACUAUAGCCUUUAAAAAUGUUUUAAAAUAUUAAACUAUUUUUUGAUUCCCAAGUAUGGACAUUUUAGUUUUUCAGUGCAGUUUAAUAAACAGCAAAAAUAAACAAAACGAGAAAAUCAGCAAAAACGAUCGAAACACCCGUACCGAAUACCGUGACUGCAUCUAGGACCGCGUUUCCAAGGCCCAUGUCCGGAUCAUUAACGUGGGAGCUGUGCUGGCUGGAUACUUUCCGGACAAGGCGGAAAUGUUGAAAGUGAUUCUAAAAUUCAACAGCGGGAAAAGGAUCAAAUUUGUUUCCGGAAAAGGAGUUAAAUUUCAGUUUACAGGAACAAGCCUUCACCAGCUUCCAAUGGGCGCCGAUCAUCUGGAUGAAUUUUGCUGCACAUACUUAGCGAAUUUCUCCCCCUUGGGAAUGAAUUGUCGAUUGGAACAAAACUUCCAGGGGCAACCGGUUAAUUGGUUCUCAAUGGUACGGGGUUUCAAAGGAACCAAUAUUUUCCAUUCGGGGUCGGCAAAACAAAUCACGGCACGGAACGGAUAUUGGCUGGCCAGCGAAGUUUUCAACAAUAGUGAGACGGCUUGCCACUUUCGGAGCGUACGUCCUGCACCUCAUCACGGCUGUAAUAACAUCGAUCAAUGCACGCAAUUAUGAAGUUUCGGUUGUUUAGGUGGAAUCGUUGCGUUGCUAUCAGCCUAAUAGACGGGAAGGAAACGUUUUCCUGGCAACGGUUGACGUAGUGUUGCUGAUGAAGGACCAUAAUUUCCUAAACCGCUCGAAAAGCUCAACCGCGCUUAGGUUGUCCGGCCUACCUUAUCCAUACCAUUUGUAUGUGCAAAUUGAUGACCAGCAGGAAGGGAGCAACCAUGGCUUACUUGAGUUGAUGGGUCCGUUGAAAAUCAAAUAUCUGUCGUUAAGAUCAGUGAACGCUGAGCAGCAGACCAAACGACACCUUAGUUUUUUUCCAAGGUAAGAUGUCAUUUGGUACCCAGGGCUAACAGUAUCGAUGCACUGAGACGAUGAAAGAAGAAAAACACGAAAAAGUCUGGAAAUGGAUCAAUGAGAAAACCUUAUCGUUAAGGACCUGGAGAAACUCGGUGGAACAAUUUUCGGAAAUUCCAGUGAGAGUUGUGACCUCGCACCCCGGAAGUUUAUCCAUCUGGAGGAAAAAAGCGGCCAUGUACUUCAAAACAUAACAAAAUACAACAAGUAAGCAGAAUAUGUGCAAGUUUGUUAUUUCGAGCCAUUGUUGAAUAAAUGUGAUAAGAAAAGCUUACA